UACGUAGGUGGCAAGCGUUGUCCGGAUUUACUGGGCGUAAAGAGCGCGCAGGCGGUCGUUCAAGUCGCGUGUGAAAGCCCCCGGCUCAACUGGGGAGGGUCACGCGAUACUGAUCGACUCGAAGGCAGGAGAGGGAAGUGGAGUUCCCGGUGUAGUGGUGAAAUGCGUAGAUAUCCGGAGGAACACCAGUGGCGAAGGCGACUUUCUGGCCUGUUCUUGACGCUGAGGCGCGAAAGCUAGGGGAGCAAACGGG
rnacentral:rRNA from 1 species